AACCUUGCUCAGGAUUUGGCUGUAUUGUAUUUGAUAUUUAUAGAGGAAAACAAAACAACACCUUUUAUUAAAUGGAUUUUUGAAAUAGGAAGCUGGAAUAGGAGCUUGCUCCAUUCACUCCAUGCAUCAACCUGGUAUUGCAGUACUUCCAGGAAAGGUGCACCUCCC
rnacentral:snRNA from 1 species